CCUACGGGUUGCAGCAGUGGGGAAUAUUGGACAAUGAGCGAAAGCCUGAUCCAGCAACGCCGCGUGUGUGAAGAAGGUCUUCGGAUUGUAAAGCACUUUCGACGGGGACGAUGAUGACGGUACCCNUAGAAGAAGCCCCGGCUAACUUCGUGCCAGCAGCCGCGGUAAUGCGGAGGGGGCUAGCGUUGCUCGGAAUGACUGGGCGUAAAGGGCGCGUAGGCGGUUUAUGCAGUCAGAUGUGAAAUCCCCGGGCUUAACCUGGGAACUGCAUUUGAGACGCAUAGACUAGAGGUCGAGAGAGGGUUGUGGAAUUCCCAGUGUAGAGGUGAAAUUCGUAGAUAUUGGGAAGAACACCGGUGGCGAAGGCGGCAACCUGGCUCGAAACUGACGCUGAGGCGCGAAAGCGUGGGGAGCAAACAGGAUUAGAUACCCUAGUAGUC
rnacentral:rRNA from 1 species